rnacentral:rRNA from 1 species
CCAGUGGCGGACGGGUGAGUAACGCGUAAGAACCUGCCCUUGGGAGGGGAACAACAGCUGGAAACGGCUGCUAAUACCCCAUAGGCUGAGGAGCAAAGGGAGGAAUCCGCCCAAGGAGGGGCUCGCGUCUGAUUAGUUAGUUGGUGAGGCAAUGGCUUACCAAGGCGACGAUCAGUAGCUGGUCCGAGAGGAUGAUCAGCCACACUGGGACUGAGACACGGCCCAG